rnacentral:rRNA from 1 species
CAGAAACUCAAAGGAAGUUGACGGGGGCCCGCACAAGCAGCGGAGCGUGUGGUUUAAUUCGAUGCAACGCGAAAAACCUUACCAAGGCUUGACAUGCCAGAAGUAGAAACUCGAAAGAGUGACCAUCUGUAUCCAGUCAGAAACUGGCACAGGUGCUGCAUGGCUGUCGUCAGCUCGUGCCGUGAGGUGUUAGGUUAAGUCCUGCAACGAGCGCAACCCUCGUCGCUAGUUAAAUUUUUCUAGCGAUACUGCCCGUAAAACGAGGAGGAAGGUGAGGAUGACGUCAAGUCAGCAUGGCCCUUACGCCUUGGGCUACACACACGCUACAAUGGGUUAUACAACGGGUUGCGAAAGAGCGAUCUGGAGCUAAUCCCUAAAAUCACUCUCAGUUCGGAUUGUAGGCUGAAACUGCCUGCAUGAAGUUGGAGUUGCUAGUAACCGCAGGUCAGCACACUGCGGUGAAUACGUUCUCGGGCCUU